GAGUGAAAUGAUGCUUUACCAUCUUUCGGGGCUUACCUAGAAAUGGGGAUAAUUUUCUUUAACUGAUCACUC